AACGAACGCUGGCGGCAUGCCUAACACAUGCAAGUCGAACGAGACCUUCGGGUCUAGUGGCGCAGGGGUGCGUAACACGGGGGAACCUGCCCUUAGGUUCGGAAUAACUCCCCGAAAGGGGUGCUAAUACCGGAGAGGGUCUUCGGACCAAAGAUUUAUCGCCUUUGGAUGGGCCCGCGUUGGAUUAGCUAGUUGGUAGGGUAAAAGCAUGCCAAGGCGACGAUGCAUAGCUGGUCUGAGAGGAUGAUCAGCCACACUGGGACUGCGACACGGCCCAGACUCGUACGCGAGGGAGGAGUAGGGAGUAUUGGACAAGGGGCGAAAGUCUGAUACAGCCGUGCCGGGGGAGUGGUGAAGGCCUUAGGGUUGCAAAGCUGUUUUACCCGGGAUGAUAAUGACGGUACCGGGUGAAUAAGCUCCGGCUAACUACGUG
rnacentral:rRNA from 1 species